UGUCCGUUUGCUCCCGACUGUUAUUAACUGUGUCACUGAGUACAUAAGAAAGGGUUUUGAAGGAAUUCCAGUGUGAAUCCACUAAUUCAAUAAUCCAAUAACAUAAAUUCAAGUAAUGGAUAUUAAUACUAUGUUCAAAACAGGCUCGCAACUUUUAUAUCUCUCUUUCUCCGACAGACAGAGCAUGCGUCGCGGAGAGGCUCCUGAUGAAAUAAUAAAACCCAAUUCUCAUCUAGAAAAAAGAAUCAUUAUAGGAGGAUGGUCCUUGCUAUCAAAGGAACGGACCAGAGGCAAGGAAUUCUCUCACUCAAAUGUGUUCUCACUUACUCGUCCCUUCCCAAGUAAUUUCCAAAUUGCUUUA